GGGGCACUGACCAACCACCAAAGGGAGCAGAGGGCACACAGGGGCAGGGCAUCAGCAUGAGGGGAUAAAGGGCUGGGACAAAGAACAAGAAGGGAUGGCUCUUGAAGCUUUCUGAUGCGGUGUGGUGUUACUCUGUCUGGGCUGAAGCUUUCUGAAGUUGUAUGGUGAUAAUCUGUAUUGCAGCUGUCUCAACUGUGACAAGUGCUGCGACAAUGAGGAUUUAAUAUGUAUCUGAUUGUAGAAGUUUGGGGGUUUUUUGACCACAAAUGUGUUGUGCUUCUGUCUCUUUAUUAUAUUUUUUUCUUCCAGUGUGUAUUUGGCCCUGGAAUUCAAUGAGGUAUUGAUGACAGAUUAUCAAAAAUUGACUGGAGUUUCUCUGAAUCAAAUGCAGGAAUUUUAGAUAAUGAAUUGUUUACUGCUAAGAGAUAUUGAUCCUUCCACAUGAACUUGUAAUUCAGCAGCAGAUCAUUUGAGUAGGGAAGGAAAAUAGUAUGGAUUUGGUAAACUAGCAAAGCAGACACUAAGGUUGUAAAGAGGGGUGCAUUUUUUUAAGUGAUUUUAGAGAGGAGAGUGGAUUUUGCAAGCCCAGAUGUAAGAAAGCUUUUGGACUGACUUGUAACCCAAGUAUCCUAGUGUAGCUUGCCCAAUGGAAAAGAGAUUUAUUCACCUCCUGUUGAUUUUCCACCUGCUGUACUCCUUUUCUUUCAUUCUCACCCAGUAAAGUGGGUGCAUGUCUGAAAUCUCAGUGCCUGAGUGUUAUCUGAGCUCAUUGUCAGAGCAUUUACAGGGAACUUACAGAAAAUUUGAUCAAGAAGGAGUAGUAUUGUGAUGAAGAAUUUCACAAGAAUGUUUUUUCAAAGACUCAUUUCAGAAAGUUGUGCUUUAGUUUUCUAAGUAUUUUGCAGCUGAAUGCUUCAAGAGUGCAUCUGUAGGGGGAGAUUUCAGCUCAAGGCUGUAGUACCAAAUCUAGCAG